GAGUCUCACUCUGUUGCCCAGGCUGAAGUGCAGUGGUGCGAUCUCAGCUCACUGCAAGCUCUGCCUUCCGGGUUGACACCAUUCUCCUGCCUAGUCUCCUGAGUAGCUGGGACUACAGGUGCCCCUCACCACACACGACUAAUUUUUUGUAUUUUUAGUAGAGAUGAGGUUUCACCAUGUUAGCCAGGAUGGUCUCGAUCUCCUGACCUCGUGAUUCGCCUGCCUCGGCCUCCCAAAGUGCUGGGAUUACAGGCCAAAACCCCCAAUUUUUAUAUCCAAGCAAAGUCAACAAAUCCCAGAAAAAAAAUCCAAGUAAAACCAUACCAAGGCCAUAGGCCAUAUUGUGAUUUAAGAAACUGGCAGGACAGGGCUUUCAAUUGACUUUCUAUGAUUUCUAAUUUUUACUAUUUAUAAUGAUGGAAAAUAGGUUAUUCUUGAGAGUUUUUAUCUUGGAGAAAGUCUCACAUAUCAGGCAUAGAUGACUAAGGGUUAUUAAAGGCAGAUGACUUUCUAGCCUUGUUUUAGAGUUUUAAUUUCUUACUUUGGAAAUAAAUUUGUUUCUUACAAAUCUUAUAGUAAAAAUGAUUCUCCAGAAAGAUGUGCCCAGGAUAUUCUCUCCUGCUGCAUCCUCCCUGCAGAGAAUUAAAGCUGUGUGUACUUCAAUUUCGGAAAUGUACAGUAUGAAUUACUUAGAGUUAAUUUGAAAAACUAAAAGAAAAACAUGGGAUGAAUUAAGAUAUUUAAGAAUUAAGAUAUUACUGUGAUGUUCCUUCAGCAAAUUACUAAAAGUGGUUCCAGAGUGAUAUUUAAAAAUGAUUAUUAAAAGAGUUUCUAAGGGAGCCCUAUUCAGGGCAAAAAGACAUUGUACAUUACCUCAGUACACAAAUAUUCCUAAUGUUUUGUGAAGGACCAAGGGUCCUGUUUUGUCCUAUUGGCCCGUAUUAACACUAAGACACCUGAUUCCUGGGAACCAACCUGUGUGGGAGUCACAAAAGUGGUGGAUGUGGCUCCCAAAAUGGCUUAUUUUGGACUCCGAAAAUAAGAGAGGGGUCCCUUCUCUGUGAGGCUGAGUUUCCUGACUGUACGAAGGAGUCAGGCCUUUCCCCUGUGACGUUUUCUCCUCUUUAUUACAGUGGCAGGAGCAUCCCUGCGAGAGGCCUGACCCAGGUGUGUAGCCCAAGCAGCCAGCCCGGAAAUCCAAUGGGGUGUUCUUGGGGUGCAGAGGAUUUGUGACAGUCCAUACACAGAAAAAGGAAAAGGUGGCUUUGAAGAGGCAAGUGCAAAGAUACCAGAGAUGGGGUAUUGUCAUUUUAGGCAGUGAAUUGACGGUUUCACUUACCAGGGAGCUCCCAUCGUGAGCUCCCAAAAGGCCUAACAACUGCUAGGCCCACGGGUCAUUAGCUCCACCUUUACGGAGAAGCUGCACUAUGCAUGUCAGAAGCGGGGUAGGCAGGGAUGAGGGAAAGGACGGGAUAAGGAAAGAAAAGAUGUGCGCUGAGCUGAGCUGCGGGAGGGUAAACCUAACUACGUAACAAUGAGCAGGCUGUGAGAGGCUCCUUGCCCCUUGCAGAUUUGUGAAAAAUCAAACUUCCGCCCAAGAAGCCGGCAUUUCAGGUAGGGGCGAUGAUGUCACAAUCACAGGUUGAGAUCUGCUGCCCAGGCCAUGCUUGCUCCCCGCAGGCAGGCGAGAUUUCGGAACAGCCAGGACCUCCUCCGCAUGGGGGAACCGCUCUAGACGCUCAGAGGGGCGGAGUUGAAACGGACCUGACUGGCCAGUGUCUCAAAGACGUGGAUGGUGACCAGCUCUCUCCAGAACAGAUGGCGCUCCAGCUUUGUGGGAGAAACUUUCAAGGUGUGGAUCACUUGGAAGUCAUUUGAAACCUAUGAAGUUUAACAUCUCUGCUUUGGAUGGAAUGCUCAUCACCUACAGCAGUCAGGGAUGUAACUAAACUUGCUGGGACUGAUGUGUUGAAAUUUUUUGUCUAGAUAGUGGAAACAUCCAGGAGCACUUCUGCUUCCAUGUAGCCUCUUAAUAAUUGAUGUCCCUAAAAUCCUAUGUCCUCAGAAACAGAUACUUUCAGCCAGGGCAGUGGCUCAGGCCUGUAAUCCCAGCACUUCGGGAGGCCAAGGUGGGUGGAUCACCUGAGGCCAGGAGUUCGAGACCAGCUUGGCCAACAUGGUGAAAUCCUGUCUCUACUAUAAAUACAAAAAUGAGCUGGGCAUGGUGGCAUGUGCCCAUAAUCUCAGCUACGUAGGAGGCUGAGGCAGGAGAGUUGCUUGAACCUGGAGGCAGAGGUUGCAGUGAGCAGAGAUUGCACCACUGCACUCCAGCCUGGGCAACAGAAGGAAAAAAAAAAAAAAGGAAGGAAGAAAGUUACUUUCACAAAGUUGGUACCAGCUUUCUUGUUUUUAUAUCUAAUCUGUAAAAAUCUGGCUGUUAAUCUACAUGAAAGUAAUAGUUCAUUCAUGUCACACUUCCAAUAGUUUCUCAUUUGUGAUUUUUGAAUGUGGUACACUGUCAAAAAAGGGAAAACAUGAUUGUGACCAUUGAACUCUAUUACUGUACUUGUGAAGCUUAUAAAGAAUUUACUACUUCAGGAUUAAUUA